AUUGAACGCUGGCGGCAGGCCUAACACAUGCAAGUCGAACGGUAACAGGAAGCAGCUUGCUGCUUUGCUGACGAGUGGCGGACGGGUGAGUAAUGUCUGGGAAACUGCCCGAUGGAGGGGGAUAACUACUGGAAACGGUAGCUAAUACCGCAUAACGUCGCAAGACCAAGAGGGGGGCCUUAGGGGCCCUUGGCAACGGAUGUGGCCAGAUGGGAUUAGCUAGUAGGUGGGGUAACGGCUCACCUAGGCGACGAUCCCUAGCUGGUCUGAGAGGAUGACCAGCCACACUGGAACUGAGACACGGUCCAGACUCCUACGGGAGGCAGCAGUGGGGAAUAUUGCACAAUGGGCGCAAGCCUGAUGCAGCCAUGCCGCGUGUAUGAAGAAGGCCUUCGGGUUGUAAAGUACUUUCAGCGGGGAGGAAGGGAGUAAAGUUAAUACCUUUGCUCAUUGACGUUACCCGCAGAAGAAGCACCGGCUAACUCCGUG
rnacentral:rRNA from 1 species